CUUUUCUUUGUUCGUUCCCUUAAUUCCUCUGUUUUACACAGGCUUGAGAGAGCCUGGGAUCUGUAGUGCAGCAGCUACCCCCAACUAAGCCCCCUGUGAGAAUGACAUAUGUCAGACGUAAGAGGAAGGAUAAAUCAGGAAUUACAACUUAAUGGUGUCAGCAUUCUGUUAGAAAAUACCGUGAGCAGCAAGUUGGUGAUUGUCACGCAUGAGAGAGGAGUUGUCAGAGCUAGCACUAUAAAUAAGGCAGGAGCCGUAAAAGAAUGUUAUGUGAUAUAUUCUGUCUUUUUCUUGUCCUUCUACCUCAGUUGUAUGCACCAUUGGUGAUUUAAUAGCUUCAAAUACAACUAUUUCUAUCCUAGCCUUAAUAUUAUUACCUUUGUUUCUGGGUACAGAUUUGCAUCCACUAAUUCCAUAACAAACUUGGAGUUGGUGGAAAAACCUGACUCCUUGGUAGGAGUUCGACCUGCUGUUUCUGGAGAUGGAACUGCGUUAGAAGUACUCAUUAAGUGGGAUAACCUGCCAGAUUAUGAGGCAACUUGGGAAGAUUUCCUUGCCGUCCAGACCAGAUUUCCGGCUUUUCACCUUGAGGACAAGGUGACUCUAUUAUUUACUUGUGGACAAGGGAGACAAAGUUCCCACAUGCUGUAUGGAAGGCUGGUCAUGGUCUAAUUGCUCUUCUUUUGUGAAACUUUGAUGUUGUUAAUAAUAUAUGGCUUGAGCCCUUUCCUGGGAGGUUUGCAUUUCAAUGAGUGGAGAUCCUUUCACCGAUGAGCAAAUUGAUGAAAUACGAGACAAAUGGGCAUCAUACUUCACCGAACAUUGUGUGUAAUUAACGCUUCAUUGAUCUCUUCUUGUGGAUGUUUCGUGCUACUAAAAUCAUAUAUAAUUGCCUUAUUAUAUUUUUGGUGCAAUUUUGUAACGUACGAAGUGUAAAAGAUAUAGUUAUUAUAGAUUUGAAACUAUUUAGGUGGUUUAUUUUUUUAAACAUAUAUAUGAUGGUUAACUUAUAUGUAAAAAUCAAUGUUUCGGAAAGUUAUUGGUGGUUGAUGACACUUUUGAACGUUGUAUAAAU